GACGAACGCUGGCGGCGUGCUUAACACAUGCAAGUCGAGCGGAAAGGCUCCUUCGGGAGUACUCGAGCGGCGAACGGGUGAGUAACACGUGAGUAAUCUGCCCUGUGCUCUGGGAUAGCCACCGGAAACGGUGAUUAAUACCGGAUACAACCACUAUGGGCAUCUGUUGGUGGUGGAAGGUUUUUUCGGCACAGGAUGUGCUCGCGGCCUAUCAGCUGGUUGGUGAGGUAAUGGCUCACCAAGGCUUUGACGGGUAGCCGGCCUGAGAGGGUGACCGGUCACACUGGGACUGAGACACGGCCCAGACUCCUACGGGAGGCAGCAGUGGGGAAUAUUGGACAAUGGGCGGAAGCCUGAUCCAGCAACGCCGCGUGAGGGAUGACGGCCUUCGGGUUGUAAACCUCUUUCAGUACCGACGAAGCGCAAGUGACGGUAGGUACAGAAGAAGGACCGGCCAACUACGUGCCAGCCGCCGCGGUAAUAC
rnacentral:rRNA from 1 species